GUGUCAAGAAGGCCUCCNGGUGGUAAAGCACUUUCACAGGGNAGGAAGGNUUAUCCUUNAUNCGGAUGAGNACUUGACGUUACCUAGAGAAGAAGCNCCGGCUAAAUNGGAGNCAGCAGCCGCGGUAAUACGAAAGGUGCGAGCGUUAAUCGGAAUUACUGGGCGUAAAGCGCGCGUAGGCGGUUUGCUAAGUCAGAUGUGAAAGCCCCGGGCUCAACCUGGGAACUGCAUUUGAAACUGGCAGGCUAGAAUGCAGUAAGAGGGAGGUGGAAUUUCCGGUGUAGCGGUGAAAUGCGUAGAGAUGGGAAGGAACACCAGUGGCGAAGGCGGCCUCCUGGACUGACAUUGACGCUGAGGUGCGAAAGCGUGGGGAGCAAACAGUAUUAGAUACCCUGGUAGUCCACGCCGUAAACGAUGUCUACUAGUCGUUGGGAAUCUUAGUAUUCUUGGUGACGAAGUUAACGCGAUAAGUGGACCGCCUGGGGAGUACGGCCGCGGGUUAAAACUUAAAUGAAUUGACGGGUGCAA
rnacentral:rRNA from 1 species